GACGAACGCUGGCGGCGUGCUUAACACAUGCAAGUCGAACGGAAAGGCCCUGCUUUUGUGGGGUUCUCGAGUGGCGAACGGGUGAGUAACACGUGAGUAACCCGCCCUUGACUUUCGGAUAACUUCAGGAAACUGGGGCUAAUACCGGAUAGGAGCUCCUGCUGCAUGGUGGGGGUUGGAAAGUUUCGGCGGUUGGGGAUGGACUCGCGGCUUAUCAGCUUGUUGGUGGGGUAGUGGCUUACCAAGGCUUUGACGGGUAGCCGGCCUGAGAGGGUGACCGGCCACAUGAGGACUGAGAUACGGCCCAGACUCCUACGGGAGGCAGCAGGGGGGAAUAUUGCACAAUGGGCGGAAGCCUGAUGCAGCAACGCCGCGUGCGGGAUGACGGCCUUCGGGUUGUAAACCGCUUUCGCCGGUGACGAAGCGUGAGUGACGGUAAUGGGUAAAGAAGCACCGGCUAACUACGUG
rnacentral:rRNA from 1 species